ACGAACGCUGGCGGCGUGCUUAACACAUGCCAGUCGAACGGAAAGGCCCUGCUUUUGUGGGGUGCUCGAGUGGCGAACGGGUGAGUAACACGUGAGUAACCUGCCCUUGACUUUGGGAUAACUUCAGGAAACUGGGGCUAAUACCGGAUAGGAGCUCCUGCUGCAUGGUGGGGGUUGGAAAGUUUCGGCGGUUGGGGAUGGACUCGCGGCUUAUCAGCUUGUUGGUGGGGUAGUGGCUUACCAAGGCUUUGACGGGUAGCCGGCCUGAGAGGGUGACCGGCCACAUUGGGACUGAGAUACGGCCCAGACUCCUACGGGAGGCAGCAGUGGGGAAUAUUGCACAAUGGGCGGAAGCCUGAUGCAGCAACGCCGCGUGCGGGAUGACGGCCUUCGGGUUGUAAACCGCUUUCGCCUGUGGCGAAGCGUGAGUGACGGUAAUGGGUAAAGAAGCACCGGCUAACUACGUG
rnacentral:rRNA from 1 species